AGAGUUUGAUCCUGGCUCAGAACGAACGCUGGCGGCAGGCUUAACACAUGCAAGUCGAACGCCCCCCUCGGGGGGAGUGGCAGACGGGUGAGUAACACGUGGGAACCGACCCAAUGGUACGGAAUAACUCGAGGAAACUCGUGCUAAUACCGUAUAAGCCCUACGGGGGAAAGAUUUAUCGCCAUUGGACGGGCCCGCGUCGGAUUAGCUAGUUGGUGAGGUAAAAGCUCACCAAGGCUACGAUCCGUAGCUGGUCUGAGAGGAUGAUCAGCCACACUGGGACUGAGACACGGCCCAGACUCCUACGGGAGGCAGCAGUGGGGAAUAUUGGACAAUGGGGGAAACCCUGAUCCAGCCAUGCCGCGUGGGUGAAGAAGGCCUUAGGGUUGUAAAUCCCUUUCAGCGGGGAAGAUAAUGACGGUACCCGCAGAAGAAGCCCCGGCUAACUCCGUGCCAGCAGCCGCGGUAAUACGGAGGGGGCUAGCGUUGUUCGGAAUUACUGGGCGUAAAGCGCACGUAGGUGGACUGUUUAGUCAGUG
rnacentral:rRNA from 1 species